rnacentral:rRNA from 1 species
UACGGAGGAUGCAAGCGUUAUCCGGAAUGAUUGGGCGUAAAGCGUCCGCAGGUGGCUUUGUAAGUCUGCUGUUAAAGAGUGAGGCUCAACCCCAUAAAAGCAGUGGAAACUACAAGGCUAGAGUACGUUCGGGGCAGAGGGAAUUCCUGGUGUAGCGGUGAAAUGCGUAGAGAUCAGGAAGAACACCGGUGGCGAAAGCGCUCUGCUAGGCCGUAACUGACACUGAGGGACGAAAGCUAGGGGAGCGAAUGGG